GAUUUCGUUAGUUCUGUGUUUUGGUCGAUUGUUUGUCCUUUCAGUGAUUGAGUGUGUGUGAGAUCGUUUUAUUUGAGCGUGGCCGCGCAUUUGAAUGUGUCUCGUUUCUUUCUGUGUUAAUUUUUGCGCGUGUUUUGUUAUUUGUUGUUUUUUUUUGCUUUGUGGGUUUUUGUUGUGAGGGUUACAUGGCAGAGAUCAAAUUUGCGACGGAAGUUUUAUUGUAGACGGAUGUGGCGAUGGGACAUCUUUGCCUAAGCUCAAAAGAAGAAGAUAUAUUUGUAGACAGAUGUGGCGAUGGGACAUCUUUGCCUAUAAUCAAAAGGAAUGAUUCCAUAUUAUGUUGUAAUUAUCGAGGAAGAGUUCAAAGCUGCAAGUAAUCUGCUUGUUUUACCGCCAACCAAACUGUAAUCACUGUUUUCUGCAUCACCUCAGACUCCUGCCAUGUAAAACUAAGCUAACAGUUAAGAACAAAGAAAAGUGUGCAUCUGAAUUCAAGCAAGGACAAUUAGAAGUUAGAACCAUACGCAUUUUCUUUCUGCCAACGGCUGCUGCAAUGCCCAUUUCUAAAUAAGGGACUUAUGGUAGACUCCCAAAAAUAGCCCCUUCUCUCCCCAAAAACCCACACAAAAACUCUAUAAAAAGAAAAACUAACCACAUUUACUAAAUAAGGGACUUAUGGUAGACUCCACUACCCUGAGGAUGUCCCAUUUUAAAAUCACCCCCACUACUCCCAGCUGGUGACACUAUUUUUAGACUCCCACUAAUGCCUUCUGCAGAAAAUAAAAUUUGAAAUUCAAAUUUUGGGCUCCUCCACGUGGAUGCCCUGCAUCAUAAUCAAUACAUUUCACACUAUGGAAUAAUGGCCCUCAUUUGUUCUUGCUUAGAAAGAUCUGCAAUACAGAGAUUUUUAGUGCCAAAAGGCUGGAUGCUCCGCAGCAUUUGAGAAGAAAUGAAGUAUUUAGGACUACUGAUUGCAUAUUGGAGGAUUGUAAACAGGGGAAUAGUGUGAAGAUCGGUGAAAGAGUUUUUAUGCUUCCAGUCUUAUCCAUUUUUUCCCCCUUUCUGGGGAGGUUUGAUAUUCAGGGACUGAGCAGUAAAAGUAAGAUUUUGGUCCAACGUUUUAUGUAUAACAGAAUUAUUAUGUAUAACCAUGUUAAGGAUUAUUUGCAAUUUAAGGUAGUCAUUUGAAAACAUGAUUUUACCCAAGUAACGAUAUAAGCACGGUC